rnacentral:rRNA from 1 species
GACGAACGCUGGCGGCGUGCUUAACACAUGCAAGUGGAACGACGAACCAGGUUUCGGCCUGGGGCAGAGCCGCGAACGGGUGAGUAACACGUGGGUAACCUGCCCUGAUGAUCGGGACAACCCGGGGAAACCCGGGCUAAUACCGAAUGUGCUGCCCUCGCAUCAGCGAAGGUAGGAAAGGAAGCUUCGGCCUCCGCAUCAGGAUGGGCCCGCGGCCCAUUAGCUUGUUGGUGAGGUAACGGCUCACCAAGGCUUCGAUGGGUAGCUGGUCUGAGAGGACGAUCAGCCACACUGGGACUGAGACACGGCCCAGACUCCUACGGGAGGCAGCAGUGGGGAAUCUUGCGCAAUGCGCGAAAGCGUGACGCAGCAACGCCGCGUGGGGGAAGAAGGCCUUGGUGUAACCCUUC